GGAUGGUUGGUGCAUGGCAAGGGGUGUGGAUCCCCUAUCAACUCCUGUCCUCCAAUUCUUAACUUCCCUCUAUGAGAAAGGGAAAGCUUAUCGGACGUAAACUUCUACUGCUCAGCGAUUUCAGCCGGCCACACCGGUAUUGACGGAGCCCCAAUGGGACGACACCCACUUACCUGUCACCACCUCCGCGGCAUCCGCUUCGCAAGGCCACCUUUACCUCGUUAUUCAUCCCUAUGGGACAUUUCCUGACUAUGUGGCCAGACAACGAGGCUUUAUCCCUGAAACAACUCUCGGCUAAACUGGUCAUGCUGUUGUGCCUGAUCUCAUGUAAAAGAGUAUCAGACGUUAGAGCACUCUAUGUCAAUGCCCGCUCCUUCUCCCCAGACGGAGUCAUUUUUGACAUCUCGUGGAGGACAAAAUCAUCCUCCGGGUCAGUCAGAUAUCCAAGCUUUCCCCACAAAGCCACUCCUCUGCCCAGUAGCGUGUCUCAAGGUGUACAAAUCUCGUACCGCACCCCUCCAAAUUAGUUUGGACCCCCAGCUCUUUAUCUCCUUUCGCAAACCGCAUGCUCCGGUAUCCUCUGCUGGCCCGCUGGGUCAAGUGGCUCAUGUCCUUAGCAGGCAUUGAUACCUCCAUAUUUUCUCCUUAUUCAGUUCGCGGUGCCAUGGCCUUCAAAGCUUGCUUUGUUGGUUGUCGUUUGGAGGAUAUUUUGAAAGCAGCUUAUUGGUCCACGUAAUCUACUUUCCGUAACUUCUAUUUCAAACCAAUCCAGCAUUUCGCAGAAGCCGUGAUAUCACAGCUUUGAAAUAGCAUAAUAGGAGCCUCUGGGUCUUUAAUAAAAUUCAAGGAUUUUACUAUUAUCAAGACGGAAAGUCAUGAUUUUAUUAGAGACACAGAGGCGAGUAUUGAGACACAUGCAGAUAUCGGCAUACAGAUACACACAUGCAGCGGCACAGACACACAGAUACAGACACGGACUUACAUACCUUAACACACAUGCAGACACAUACCCUGACACACUUAAGGAUACACACCCUGACACACAGAUACACAUGCAGAGGCACAGAGAUGCAUACACUGACACAUGCAGAAACACAGACAUAUAUAGAUACCCUGACACACUUAAAGGACCACUAUAGUGGCACUACAGG